GAAAUGCGAUACGUAGUGUGAAUUGCAGAAUUCCGUGAACCAUCAAAUUUUUGAACGCAUAUUGCGCUCAAGGCUUCGGCCAAGAGCAUGCCUGCCUCAGCGUCGGGUUCUCAAUCACACAACCCCUCUGUGUUCAUUCACAGAGCCGUGUGGAAGUCGCGGUCUCAGCACCCUGUGUUGAGUCCGCCAAAGUAUGAGUAGCGCUUUCAAGCAUUGAGAAACCGGUCUCACGACCGCUGUCUCAUUCAAGCCGCACCCGAGUAUGCAUCUUCGUAUGUUGCUCGUCCUUGCGUCCUGCCUGAUCCCCGUCUUCUCUCUCUCUUACCAGAGACGAGCUAGAUAAGCACAUGCUACCGUAUUGGAACCCCUCAAUUCUCGACCUGAGCUCAGACAAGGUUAC
rnacentral:misc_RNA from 1 species